rnacentral:rRNA from 1 species
GAUGAACGCUGGCGGCGUGCCUAAUACAUGCAAGUCGAGCGAACGGACGAGAAGCUUGCUUCUCUGAUGUUAGCGGCGGACGGGUGAGUAACACGUGGAUAACCUACCUAUAAGACUGGGAUAACUUCGGGAAACCGGAGCUAAUACCGGAUAAUAUUUUGAACCGCAUGGUUCAAAAGUGAAAGACGGUCUUGCUGUCACUUAUAGAUGGAUCCGCGCUGCAUUAGCUAGUUGGUAAGGUAACGGCUUACCAAGGCAACGAUGCAUAGUCGACCUGAGAGGGUGAUCGGCCACACUGGAACUGAGACACGGUCCAGACUCCUACGGGAGGCAGCAGUAGGGAAUCUUCCGCAAUGGGCGAAAGCCUGACGGAGCAACGCCGCGUGAGUGAUGAAGGUCUUCGGAUCGUAAAACUCUGUUAUUAGGGAAGAACAUAUGUGGAAGUAACUGUGCACAUCUUGACGGUACCUAAUCAGAAAGCCACGGCUAACUACGUG